UACGGAGGGUGCAAGCGUUAUCCGGAUUCACUGGGUUUAAAGGGUGCGUAGGAGGGCAGGUAAGUCAGUGGUGAAAUCUGUGGGCUUAACCCACAAACUGCCGUUGAUACUAUCUGUCUUGAAUAUUGUGGAGGUGAGCGGAAUAUGUCAUGUAGCGGUGAAAUGCUUAGAUAUGACAUAGAACACCAAUUGUGAAGGCAGCUCGCUACACAUAUAUUGACUCUGAGGCACGAAAGCGUGGGGAUCAAACAGG
rnacentral:rRNA from 1 species